rnacentral:rRNA from 1 species
AACGUCCGUCGUGGAGAGGGAAACAACCCAGACCGCCAGCUAAGGUCCCAAAGUCAUGGUUAAGUGGGAAACGAUGUGGGAAGGCAUAGACAGCCAGGAUGUUGGCUUAGAAGCAGCCAUCAUUUAAAGAAAGCGUAAUAGCUCACUGGUCGAGUCGGCCUGCGCGGAAGAUGUAACGGGGCUAAACCAUGCACCGAAGCUGCGGCAGCGACGCUUAGGCGUUGUUGGGUAGGGGAGCGUUCUGUAAGCCGUUGAAGGUGGCCUGUGAGGGUUGCUGGAGGUAUCAGAAGUGCGAAUGCUGACAUAAGUAACGAUAAAGCGGGUGAAAAGCCCGCUCGCCGGAAGACCAAGGGUUCCUGUCCAACGUUAAUCGGGGCAGGGUGAGUCGGCCCCUAAGGCGAGGCUGAAAAGCGUAGUCGAUGGGAAACAGGUUAAUAUUCCUGUACUUGGUGUUACUGCGAAGGGGGGACGGAGAAGGCUAGGCUAGCCGGGCGACGGUUGUCCCGGUUUAAGCGUGUAGGGGGUGUGACCUGGUAAAUCCGGUUGCAUAUUAACCCUGAGGCGUGAUGACGAUGCACUACGGUGCAGAAGUAGUUGAUGCCCUGCUUCCAGGAAAAUCCUCUAAGCUCCAGGUAACAUUAAAUCGUACCCCAAACCGACACAGGUGGUCAGGUAGAGAAUACCAAGGCGCUUGAGAGAACUCGGGUGAAGGAACUAGGCAAAAUGGUGCCGUAACUUCGGGAGAAGGCACGCUGGCAUGUAGGUGAAGUCCCUUGCGGAUGGAGCUGAAGCCAGUCGAAGAUACCAGCUGGCUGCAACUGUUUAAUAAAAACACAGCACUGUGCAAACACGAAAGUGGACGUAUACGGUGUGACGCCUGCCCGGUGCUGGAAGGUUAAUUGAUGGGGUCAGCCGCAAGGCGAAGCUCUUGAUCGAAGCCCCAGUAAACGGCGGCCGUAACUAUAACGGUCCUAAGGUAGCGAAAUUCCUUGUCGGGUAAGUUCCGACCUGCACGAAUGGCGUAAUGAUGGCCAGGCUGUCUCCACCCGAGACUCAGUGAAAUUGAACUCGCUGUGAAGAUGCAGUGUACCCGCGGCAAGACGGAAAGACCCCGUGAACCUUUACUAUAGCUUGACACUGAACAUUGAGCCUUGAUGUGUAGGAUAGGUGGGAGGCUUUGAAGCGUGGACGCCAGUCUGCGUGGAGCCAUCCUUGAAAUACCACCCUUUAAUGUUUGAUGUUCUAACUCGGCCCCGUGAUCCGGGGUGAGGACAGUGUCUGGUGGGUAGUUUGACUGGGGCGGUCUCCUCCCAAAGAGUAACGGAGGAGCACGAAGGUUAGCUAAUCACGGUCGGACAUCGUGAGGUUAGUGCAAAGGCAUAAGCUAGCUUGACUGCGAGAGUGACGGCUCGAGCAGGUACGAAAGUAGGUCUUAGUGAUCCGGUGGUUCUGAAUGGAAGGGCCAUCGCUCAACGGAUAAAAGGUACUCCGGGGAUAACAGGCUGAUA